rnacentral:rRNA from 1 species
AGGAUUAACGCUGGCGGAGUGCCUGACACAUGCAAGUCGAACGAGGCCGCAAGGCCGAGUGGCGGACGGGUGAGUAACACGUGACCAACCAACCUCGAAGUUGGGAAUAGCUCUGCGAAAGUAGGGGUAAUACCGAAUGUGGCCCAGGGCGGGCAUCCGCCUUGGUCUAAAGAUUCAUCGCUUCGAGACGGGGUCGCGGCCUAUUAGCUUGUUGGUGAGGUAACGGCUCACCAAGGCGAUGAUGGGUAGCUGGUCUGAGAGGACGACCAGCCACACUGGGACUGAGACACGGCCCAGACUCCUACGGGAGGCAGCAGUGAGGAAUCUUCCGCAAUGGGCGAAAGCCUGACGGAGCAACGCCGCGUGUGGGAUGAAGGCUCUAGGGUUGUAAACCACUGUCGGAGGGACGAUCGUGACGGUACCCUCCAAGAAAGCCCCGGCUAACUACGUGCCAGCAGCCGC